UAGUGAGGAAACACUGGGCUGGAGAAGAGCAGGAAAGAACAGGCAGCUGCGUCAUUGAAACACCAUCACUCAGUUUUGCUACUACCCAGACGACAGCCAGAGUAUGUGCUGUAGAAGAUACCACAUCUGAUGUUUUCCUUUAUGUGACAAUAAAAGGUGAAAAGAUCUUGCUGUAUCUGGUUCUGUUCUUGAAAAGACAUGACAAAGCUCCAACACAGAUGACAGUGAAACUACCACAUCUAUUGUCAAAACAAUCCCAGGAUUGCCUUUCAAGGAAAAUCCAGCAGUUCACACAGACAGGCUUCAGCAGUGCUUAAAUUGUGAUCCUUUGAACACACAUAGAACUGAAAAUGAGCAACAGAGUUUUCAAAAUCUUGAAGAAAGAAACUUUGUCUUUCUUGGCAAGAAAAUGAAGCCACCAUCAAUUCUGGAAACAGCACCACUUCUUGAAGAUCUGGAAAGGAUAAUGCUAAUAUCACAGAAACAUAGACUCACUGAGGCUGUAAGGGACCACUGAAAAUGGCUCACACAGCUCCAAGUAAGACAAGAUGUUUCUGCUUCUAUGAAACUUUUGGACCUUUCACCGUGUGUUGCUGCACAUC